ACAAAGCCCGACGCGUCACUUCCAUUUCUUUCCUCUUCUUCGUCGCUUCUUCCAUUCCCAGAUCUUCUUCGUCUCCGUACCCUCCUCCUCCCUCUCUCGCCGAUCCGUGGCCGAUCGAGCCUUUUCUGGAUAGGCAAGGAUAACGAAGGCGAGGGGGCGAGCAGCGAGUCGGGCAUGGGACAAGCCUUCCGCAAGCUCUUCGACAGAUUCUUCGGUCUCGUCGAAAUGAGGGUUGCAAUGCUUGGAUUGGAUGCAGCUGGCAAGACAACGAUUUUGUACAAGUUGCACAUUGGAGAAGUUUUGUCGACUGUUCCAACUAUCGGCUUCAAUGUGGAGAAGGUCCAGUAUAAAAAUGUGGUAUUUACAGUAUGGGAUGUUGGUGGACAAGAAAAAUUAAGACCCUUAUGGAGGCAUUACUUCAGCAAUACCGAUGCUUUGAUCUAUGUUGUGGAUUCGUUGGAUAGGGAAAGGAUUGGAAAGGCUAGAGAAGAAUUUCAGACGAUUAUCCGAGAUCCAUUCAUGUUGAACAGUGUUAUAUUGGUAUUUGCUAAUAAGCAGGACUUGAAAGGUGCAAUGACUCCAAUGGAGGUAUCUGAAGGAUUGGGUCUCUAUGAUCUGAGGAAUCGAACAUGGCACAUCCAGGGAACUUGCGCCCUUGCCGGAGAUGGUCUCUACGAGGGACUUGAUUGGCUAGUCACAGCUUUGAAGGAGUUGCAAACCCCUGGCCGAAUUCUGGCUUGAUCCUUAUCGGCCGUCUACAAAGCUUAAGAUAGACUAAUCCCGAAGACGACUCUUUUUAGCACUUUCUCUGAUGUCCUUUAAUGGCGGCGUCGAGCUUCUUGAGAGGAGCAGCAGCGGUCUCCGGCGAGAGCAGAACGGGAGUGGGCUCACUGAUUGAAGCAGGAGACGAUCGCACAGCGGGGACUCAGCAGUGUUUCGAAGGAAAAGGAAGCCUUUUGACGAUAUCCCACCGGCGAUCACAGUACAUAGAAGAAAGUACUUUGAGGUCGCAGGAGAAUUUUCAUUACCGAUGGCGAAAAAUCCGAUCUCGCAGAUUAGGGUUCUUGGCCCUUGUUCGGUGGGCGAUCGGUGAAGCUUGCUCAGGGUUAAGGAUUCCCCAUCAUACUCUUCCUUCUCUACCUCCACCCUCCGCUGACGGCUCCGACUCUCCAUCCAUCGCGUCGCCGAUCUCCUUCCUCUCCUCCGAGCAUAAUGCCGCUUCUACUUCAGAGUCGCAGCCAGUUGAUGAUCCCUCGAUCCCUUCUACUGUCCGUGGGAAUCGACCUUCUACGCCUGCCAGGCAUUUGAAUGAGACAUGCACGCCGAACAUCUGGAGGUCGCUGCAUUGGCUGAGACUGGGAACAGGCUUUCCGAGUAAUGAUGUCAUUCUAUGAUAUCUUCGACCAGCGUUAGUUGCCUUUAAGUGGACGAUGAUCCUGUUUCCUUUCUCCGUAGAUACAGUGAAUCACAGACACAAGAAUCAGGACGAGGAACGCCGGGCUCCCCUCCAUUGUUUUUUUAUAUCUUUUCGGAUCGCUAAGCUCUGAGCUCGCUCCGCGCCAUCGACGGAUCGACCCAUCGACGACCAGGAGGAACGAAGAA